UUUUUUUGCUUUUCUGGUUUUGACUUUCCAGAGGGCUGGGUUUGGUGAUACAGCUGUACGCGGGAGAAAUUUGGCACUCACGUUGAGGCAUAAGAGUCCGUGGUUUUGUGUUGCUGACCCGUCCAUUAAGUGCUAAAAGAACCAGCCACUGUCACUUCUAAGAAUGUCAUCAACAGAAGAAGUCCAUGAACAAGUCCAUGAACAAGAACAUCACGAUGAAGUAGCAAGUAACUAUGUUCCUCCACCACCAAAAUCAAUUGGAGAGCUGGUGGCAGCAGAUCAAGAAGAUGAAAGCUUACGCAAAUACAAAGAAACAUUGCUUGGAAAUGCAAUCGCUGAAAACAUUGUUAUAGAACCUGGUAAUCCCAAGAAAGUCUUGGUUAAAAAGUUAGUUCUGGUGUCAGAAGGCCAGACUGAAAAAACUUUGGAUCUUUCUGGUGAUCUUUCUAAGCUGAAACAAACUGUGUUCACUAUUAAAGAAGGUGUUCAAUACCGCAUUCGUAUCGAGUUUUUCGUCCAACACGAAAUUGUUACUGGACUGAAAUAUAUCCAAAAGACUUAUAGAAAAGGAAUCCAAGUGGACAAAAUGACCCAUAUGGUUGGAAGUUAUGCCCCCAAGAAGGAUUUACAGUCCUAUACGACGCCACUGGAAGAUGCGCCGUCCGGUCUACUAUACCGUGGUCAUUACACUGUUUCCUCUUUAUUCACCGACGACGACCAAAACGAACACCUCAAGUGGGAAUGGUCAUUUGAAAUUAAAAAAGAUUGGAAUUAAGAUGAUUACAGAGGAAACAUGAUUAAUAUGCCUUAUUGUAUCCUGGAGGACUCAAAACUUUCUUUUGUCCAAUGUUUACAAUUGCUGAUGGUAUUCCUAGCUCUGAUGCCCGGAGAAUGAAUCGGUAACCCGAGUAGACGUACAGAGAAGAUCCAAGGACUAUCAGGCAGUCGCUAGAUUGUAAUUGCGAAAAUACAAAUUCUACCCUGGAUUUUGGAACGUUGUCCCCGAAGAAAAUUAUAUUUGGUUUAUAAAACCCUUCCAGUUCAUCCCGGCAUUGUUGACAAUUUGGUACACGAAAAGUAUUUAUUAUUUCCUUUGUAAAACCAAAAAAUGAGUAACCAUAAAUUAUAUUUUUUCUUGUUUCUA